rnacentral:tRNA from 1 species
GCCGUAGGGUAGCUCAGUCGGUAGAUGCAGCGGACUGACAAUCCUCGUGUCGGCGGUUCGAUUCCGUCCCUCGGCA